rnacentral:lncRNA from 1 species
UGGGUCUCAAUGGGACCCAAUGGGAUUCUAUGGGACCCAAUGGGACCCAAUGGAACCCAAUGGGAUUCUAUGGGUCUCCAUAGGACCCAAUGGGACCCGAUGCCACCCACCCCGCCCCGACGUCCCCCACCCCCCGCCCCCCCCGGGACCCACCUUCCCGCAGCACGUGGGGCAGCCGCCCCCCCCUCAGCUCCCUCCACGUCUCCCCAUCCGCUGCCCGCUCCCCCAGGGCCACCUCGGCCACCGUCAGCCCCAAACUGAACACAUCCGCCUCCGCCGUCGCGCCGUCCCCCCCUGCCAUGGCCGCCACCUCCGGCGCCGCGCAGCGCCCAAAACCCGCCAGCAGGGGGCGCCCCGCCGGCCCCCGUGGGACUCAGUGGGACCCAGUGGGACCCAAUGGGACUCAAUGGGAUUCAAUGGGACUCAAUGGGAUUCAAUGGGACUCAAUGGGAUUCAAUGGGACUCAGUGGGAUUCUAUGGGACCCAAUGGGACUCAAUGGGACUCAGUGGGAUUCAAUGGGACUCAAUGGGACCCAAUGGGACUCAAUGGGUUUCAAUGGGACCCAAUGGGUUCCUAUGGGACCCUAUGGGAUUCUAUGGGUUUCUAUGGGACCCAAUGGGAAUCAAUGGGACUCAAUGGGACCCAAUGGGUUCCUAUGGGACCCAAUGGGAUUCUAUGGGACUCAAUGGGAUUCUAUGGGUUUCAAUGGGACUCAAUGGGAUUCUAUGGGACCCAGUGAAUUUCUAUGGGAUUCUAUGGGUCUCAAUGGGUUCCUAUGGGUUUCAAUGGGACCCAAUGGGAUUCUAUGGGUUUCUAUGGGACCCAAUGGGAUUCAAUGGGUCUCAAUGGGUUUCAAUGGGACCCAAUGCGACCCAAUGGGCCUCAAUGGGACCCAAUGGGACCCAAUGGGACUCAAUGGGAUUCUAUGGGACCCAAUGGGACUCAAUGGGAUUCUAUGGGUUUCAAUGGGUUUCAAUGGGACUCAAUGGGAUUCUAUGGGACCCAAUGAAUUUCUAUGGGAUUCUAUGGGUCUCAAUGGGUUCCUAUGGGUCUCAAUGGGACUCAAUGGGAUUCAAUGGGACUCUAUGGGACUCAAUGGGUCUCAAUGGGAUUCUAUGGGACCCAAUGGGACCCAAUGGGACCCAAUGGGAUUCUAUGGGUCUCAAUGGGAUUCUAUGGGACCCAAUGGGACUCAAUGGGAUUCUAUGGGUCUCAAUGGGAUUCUAUGGGACCCAAUGGGACCCAAUGGAACCCAAUGGGAUUCUAUGGGUCUCCAUGGGACCCAAUGGGACCCGAUGCCACCCAACUGGCCACAACGUCCCCCACCCGGCCCCGCCGUCCCCC